rnacentral:rRNA from 1 species
AAGGGAAGAAACGUUACAGUCUAAUAAACUGUGAUAAUGACGGUACCUUGAUAAGAAGCACCGGCUAACUACGUGCCAGCAGCCGCGGUAAUACGUAGGGUGCGAGCGUUAAUCGGAAUUACUGGGCGUAAAGCGUGCGCAGGCGGUUUUGUAAGUCAGAUGUGAAAUCCCCGAGCUCAACUUGGGAACUGCGUUUGAAACUACAAGGCUAGAGUAUGGUAGAGGGGGGUAGAAUUCCACGUGUAGCAGUGU